UGGUCGUCUUCCUGCCUUCCUCUCUUCCUCCUCCUCGCCAUCCUUCUCCUCUCGCCAUUUCCUCCGCCGAAUCGCCGCCGCCCAAAUCCACCGCAGCAAACCCCUCUCCCCAGGUGUUCGUCGCGCAAUCCAGAGCUCUCCGCACGAAGAUUCCGCCGAGCAGGCCGCGGUCGCCCGGUUCUCCCGCUGUAUUGCUGCGGCCAGCGGCCUGAAUCUCGAGCCCGAGCAGCUCGCGGAGGCGGGGCUCCCGGCGCGGCGUCCCCUUUGAGCGUCUCUGCGAGUCGGCGGCCCGAAUCCGCUGCUGGAGGGAGCCCGGCGGCUGCGGGAGCUCGCGCUUCAGGAUAAGAUCGGUGCAGGGAUUGGAGGGGGCUCGCUGGUUAGGGCCCGGCCAUGGCGCUGUUCCGCAAGUUCUUCUUCAGGAAGCCGCCCGACGGGGUGCUCCUCAUCACGGACAACAUCUACGUUUUCGAUCAUUGCUUCUCCUUGAAUGCACCGGAGGAGGACCAGUUCGAGGCACACACCAGGGGCAUCGCAGCACAUCUUCUAGAAGAUUUUCAUGAUCACUCGUUCAUGGUCGCGAAUUUCGGGACACGGUCAGAAGAAAGCCGCUUAUACCACAUUUUGUCCGAGUAUGGCAUGACUGUUUUGGACUACCCGGGCCACUAUGAGGGGUGUCCACUUCUCACCAUCGAAAUGGUGCACUGCAUCUUGAAGUCCAACGAAAGCUGGCUCUCUCUGGGCCAGCAUAACUUGCUCAUAAUGCACUGCGAACAAGGGUGCUGGCCUAUCCUGGCUUUCAUGCUAGCUGCUCUCUUGUUGUACCUGGGGCAGUAUUCAGAUGAGCAGAAAACACUGGAUAUGCUCUACAAACAAUCAUCUUCGGAGUUCUUGGAGAUGUUUUCACCUCUAAAUCCCAUGCCUUCUCAAAUUAGAUACUUGCGGUAUAUUUCGAUGAGGAAUGUCAUGCCUGAGUGGCCUCCCGCUGAUAGAGCCCUCACACUGGAUUGUCUGACUUUGAGGAUGCUUCCUGAUUUCCAAAGUCAAGGUGGUUUUUGUCCGAUAUUCAGGAUAUAUGGUCCAGAUCCACUCAUGCCUCAUGAUCAGACUCCCAAAGUUCUUUUUUCAACCCCCAAAACAAGUAAUCUUGUCCGUUUUAAUUCACAGGCAGAUGAACGGGUGAACAUAAACCUUCAAUGUCAUGUCCAAGGUGAUGUUGUCAUAGAGUGUAGCAACUUGUAUGAUGAUCUAGAUCGCGAGGAGAUGGUAUUCCGGAUCAUGUUCAACACGGCUUUCAUCAGGUCAAACAUCUUGAUGCUCAGCCGUGAUGAAAUAGACAUGCUAUGGAAUGCAAAAGAUCAAUUCCCUAAAGAUUUUCGAGCUGAGGUUAUCUUUUCUGACAUGGAUGCAACUACUUCGCUUGUUACGACAGAGCCUUUGAGUCAUCAAGAUAAACAAGGACUUGGUGUUGAAGAGUUUGCUAAAGUGCUAGAUAUCUUCAACCAUUUGGACUGGUUGGAUGGGGAUAUGGAUACUGCACUGGACACACCCCAGAAAAGGUUCCAGGUUACUUCCCAAGGAAAUAUUAGUGCAUCUCCUCCUGAUGAGCCUGAAACUUUUUUUGAUACUCAAGAAGAACUUGGCUUUGAUAAUUUCUCUGGUGAAAUCAACUCUUCUGCUCGUGUGCUGAAGCUUCAAAAUCACUUUGGUAUGCUUGGCAGCACUGAACUUAAACAAGGCCCCCCACAUUCAAGUCCAACGGAAGUUCCAUCCAAACCACAUAGAAUAGAUUUGGAUCCUUCACGAACAGAGCCUCCUUCGGUGUUGUUUGCACCAUCAGAGGUUACAAAGCCAAAGGCUAGUGUUUCAUCAGUAGCACCAUCUUCAGUUACAGUUACGCCCCAGCCUGUAUUUUCACCAGUUCAACCGCAGCCACUGCCAUCUGAUUCUGCUGUGCAAAUUUCAUCAGAGGCAUCAGCGACAACAUCUGUAGGGAAGCCUGGUUCACAAACUCCAAUACAGCAUGAACCUUCACCUCUUAUGGUAACUAAAUCAGGAUCAUCAACAUCUUGGAUACCGUCAUGUGCACCUCCUCCGCUUCCUCCCCGACCGGCCACUGUUUCAUUAGCCCCUGUUUCCCCUACCUUACCCAUAAAUACUAGUACAAGUCUGAUCAGUGUUUCCCUUAAAUCAACCAUGCCCUCCCCUUCAUCUCCUCCAGAGCCAUCAGCCUUUGCACAAGCUUUUGCAACUGAACAACUGGUUAAAUCACAAGAAUCUUCUUACGAGAUUCUCAAGUCACUGCCUGAUAGUUCUACAGCUUCAGCUUCUUCAGUUUGUAUAGUAAAGGAAUCUAGUACCCCUAAAGCAUCUUCACCGGUGACGUUGCCUGCAAUUCCUCUGACUUCAGACUCAGGGCCCUUAGUAACUCCAGUCACAAGAUCAGAUCCUAACCCAGCAUCGCCGCUCCCACCACCACCACCACCUCCCCCUCCUCCUAUAAAAGCAGCCACUGUGUAUGAACAGGAGACAAGCAGGAAAGAAAAGGUUGCACCACCUCAGCCUCCACCCCCGCCACCUCCACCAGCACUGCCACGAGCACCUUUUGAAAAUGCUACACAAUCGUUUACUACGUAUGAAAUUUCUUCCCCACCAGUUCGAUCUUCACCACCACCCCCGCCCCCGCCACCACCUCCCUCAAAGUUCGAUCUUCACCACCACCACCACCGCCACCACCCCCCUCAUUGUUUGCUGACAAAAAGGUCAGUUCAGCAUCAAAAUAUGCGGUUCCAUCACCUUUGAGCCCCAACCUUUCACAAACAAUUCCAAGGCUGCAAGCACCAACCAUCCCACCACCACCUCCUCCUCCACCUCGAAGUAGCUCGCUGGUUUCUUCAUCUCCAUCCACAAGUGGUAGACAUUUCAUGGCUGCCCCUCAUCCUCCCCCACCUCCCCCACGAUUGCAUACCAUGGCAUCUCAUGUAUCGGCGCCACCUGCACCCCCGUUAUUCGAUGCUGCCCCUCAUCCUCCCCCACCUCCCCCGCCAUUGCAUACCAUGUCAUCUCGUGGGUCAGCACCACCUGUACCCCCAUUGCCUCCUCCGAAGUUAGCUGGGGCCGGCAAUGCUUCACAAAAACCAUCAGUAACCCGACCACCGCCACCUCCACCAGGCCCACCUCCUAAGAAUUCCUCAAACUCUUUGCCAAGCAAAGGAGCCGUUGUCAGUGCUGCCCCUCCCCCGCCUCCUACAUUAUCAUUUGGUGCAAAGGGCCGCAGCGCAGUCCGGUCAAAAAGCCCUAGAGGUUUGCGUGCCAACCAGCCAUCCAAGAGGACACCUCUGAAGCCAUUACACUGGGUAAAAGUGUCAAGAGCAACACAGGGAAGCUUAUGGGCAGAUACACAGAAGGCUGAUGAAGCAUCUAGGACUCCGGAGAUUGAUCUGUCUGAGCUUGAAAGUCUUUUCUCAGUAUCCAUGCCAAGUACGGAUGCAAAACGGACACGCCAACGUCCUCCUGUUGCAUCAAAACAAGAAAAAGUUCACUUGAUUGACCUCCAGCGUUCAAAGAAUUGUGAAAUUAUGCUGCGGAACAUUAAGAUGCCAUUGCCUGAUUUGAUGGCUUCAGUGCUUACCCUUGAUGAUUCCAUCGUCGAUGGUGAUCAAGUAGAUUAUCUGAUAAAGUUCUGCCCAACUAAGGAAGAAAUGGAACUGCUCAAAGGUUAUACAGGCAGCUUAGAUAAUCUAGGAAAAUGUGAGCAGUUCUUCUUGGAAAUGAUGAAAGUGCCAAGGGUGGAGUCAAAACUGAGAAUCUUAUCCUUUAAGAUAAAGUUUCUUACACAGGUUGCAGACGUGAAAAAUAACUUGAAUACCAUUAAUGAUGUUGCUGAAGAGGUUAGGAACUCUGACAAGCUUAAGCGAGUGAUGCAAACAAUUCUUUCCUUGGGGAAUGCAUUAAACCAAGGAACUGCAAGGGGUUCAGCCGUUGGAUUUAGAUUAGAUAGUCUUCUUAAGCUCAUUGAUAUACGGGCACGAAACAAUAAGAUGACUCUCAUGCACUAUUUGUGCAAGGUUCUUGCAGGCAAGCUUCCUGAAGUUCUUGAUUUUGUUAAGGAUCUUGCGCAUUUAGAACCCGCCACAAAGAUCCAAUUGAAAGACUUGGCGGAGGAAAUGCAAGCGAUAACUAAGGGACUGGAAAAGGUCGAGCAGGAACUGGCAACAUCUGAAAAAGAUGGUCCAGUGUCUGAGACGUUUUACAAGAAACUGAAGGAAUUUCUGGCUGAUGCCCAAGCUGAAGGGAGGUCAUUAGCUUCGCUUUACAGUACAGCGGGGAAAAGUGCGGACUCUCUAGCACAUUAUUUUGGUGAAGAUCCUGUGCGGUGUCCGUUUGAGCAAGGUUUAAACAACCCCUCUCAGCUCUUUCAUAGUAUAUCAAAUCUUUGCAAACUUUGGCCAAGGCCAUCGAAAAAAAACAUCUACAUCAAGAAUACCAAAUGCAUACCAUCAGACACAUCAUGAAGCAUAUUUUCAUGAUGUGUAUGUUUGGUUGCUUUCACCGGUAAGGACAUCGAAUUCUCCGACUGGAAGGGCGACAUCCUAGCUGUUGCGGUCACGGAGAAGGAUCUGUCCAAAGGAUCAGACUCCAAAUUCGAGAAUGCCGUGCUAAAGAAGCUCGACGCCCAGCUUGGCGGUCUGCUCUUGGAGGCUUCGGCCGAGGAGGAUUUCACUGGGAAGGCCGGGCAGUCGGUGGUUCUCCGCCUCUCCGGGCAGGGCUUCAAGAGGGUGGCUCUUGUUGGUCUUGGCCAGAGCGCCCCAUCCACCGCCGCGGCUUGCCGGGGUAUCGGUGAAUCUGUUGCAUCGGUUGCCAAGUCUGCUCAGGCUAGCAGCGUUGCUGUUGUUCUUGCCUCCCCCGCUGGGAUCCAGGAAGGGUUCAAGCUCAACGCUGCCGCAUCAAUCGCGUCUGGAACCGUGCUUGGCUUGCAUGAUGACAGCAGAUUCAAGGCUGAGUCAAAGAAGGUGCAUCUUAAACAAGUAGAUCUUAUUGGACUGGGUUCUGGUUCAGAGCUGGACCAGAAACUUAAGUAUGUGAACGAUCUUUCCUCAGGCGUGAUUUUCGGGAAAGAGCUUGUCAACGCACCUGCAAAUGUUCUUACCCCUGCUGUGCUUGCGGAGGAGGCAUCAAAGAUUGCUUCUGAAUACAGUGAUGUAUUCACUGCCACAAUAUUAGAUGUAGAGAAAUGCCAGGAGCUAAAGAUGGGCUCCUACUUGGGAGUUGCUGCAGCUUCUGCAAACCCUCCUCACUUCAUCCACUUGUGCUACAAACCCGUCGGUGGCAAUGUCAAGAGAAAGCUGGCUAUUGUUGGGAAGGGUCUAACUUUUGACAGUGGAGGCUACAACAUUAAGACUGGACCAGGCUGCAGUAUUGAACUGAUGAAGUUUGACAUGGGAGGCUCCGCAGCAGUAUUCGGUGCAGCAAAAGCUUUGGCCCAAAUCAAGCCUCCUGGAGUAGAGGUUCACUUUAUUGUUGCCGCCUGUGAGAAUAUGAUUAGUGGCACAGGAAUGAGACCUGGUGACAUUUUGACUGCUUCUAAUGGGAAGACGAUUGAGGUAAAUAACACUGACGCUGAAGGGAGGCUUACGCUUGCUGAUGCUUUGGUCUAUGCUUGUAAUCAAGGUGUUGACAAGAUUAUUGAUCUGGCAACACUAACUGGUGCCUGCGUUGUUGCACUUGGGCCAAGCAUUGCUGGAAUCUUCACGCCAAGUGAUGAACUAGCCCAGGAAGUCGCCGCUGCGUCUGAGUUAUCGGGGGAGAAGUUCUGGAGAUUGCCCAUGGAGGAAAGCUACUGGGAGCAGAUGAAGUCUGGUGUGGCGGACAUGGUCAACACUGGUGGUCGACAGGGCGGCUCCAUCACCGCUGCCCUGUUCCUGAAACAGUUUGUUGACGAGAAGGUUCAGUGGAUGCACAUUGACAUGGCCGGGCCGGUGUGGAACGACAAGAAGCGUGCCGCCACCGGAUUCGGCGUGUCCACCUUGGUGGAGUGGGUCCUCAAGAACUCAUCAUCAUCCUGAAUGAACUUCCCCCCUGAUUUCCAUUGGUUCUGAUUCUACGUCGGAAGGAAGCAACCCGAGUGGUGUUCAUCAUCAUCUGUACCAGGGAAAAUGAAUGGAUUUUAUUUAAUUUUGGCUGGCGUAUGGACUAUGGAGUGGGCCGAUAGAAUAAGGAAGAGUUUCAUGGAGGAGAAUAAAACAGAAUGUCGUUGAACACUUCCCUUGUCAGAUUAAAUGAAGUUUCAUCGUUUUCA